CUACCUAUAUGAUCUUGGAGUUGAUUUAAAAUAUAAUAUUCACUUGGAGAAAGUGGAGAUAGUUAUAUGUCAAGAGAAGACUCACCAUCGGAAAGAAGAUGAUAGUAAUCUUCUCGUUUUGCACACCUCUAUAAUACUAGUACAUAGAUACCAGUAACACUCGUAGCACACACGAUGCGUGUCAGAAAAAAAUAUCCACAAAAAACAAAUUGAAUUUAUAAAUAAACGGAAUUGAUAAUUAGAAUUGAUAAGUUGGCACGUAGGACCCUAUUGGCCAAUUGACCAACUUACCAAUUUUUGAAUUUCAUACUAACCACUACCUAAACAAAACACUAAUAACAAACAAAUUGAAUUUUAGACUGAAAACAACAAACAAAAUCUGGAAAACCAAGACAGGUCCCCAAAUUGUGUUGCCUUUUUUCCUUCUUUUCUUUUUU
rnacentral:lncRNA from 1 species